rnacentral:rRNA from 1 species
AUAAUGGGUCAGCGACUUAUAUUCUGUAGCAAGGUUAACCGAAUAGGGGAGCCGAAGGGAAACCGAGUCUUAACUGGGCGUUAAGUUGCAGGGUAUAGACCCGAAACCCGGUGAUCUAGCCAUGGGCAGGUUGAAGGUUGGGUAACACUAACUGGAGGACCGAACCGACUAAUGUUGAAAAAUUAGCGGAUGACUUGUGGCUGGGGGUGAAAGGCCAAUCAAACCGGGAGAUAGCUGGUUCUCCCCGAAAGCUAUUUAGGUAGCGCCUCGUGAAUUCAUCUCCGGGGGUAGAGCACUGUUUCGGCAAGGGGGUCAUCCCGACUUACCAACCCGAUGCAAACUGCGAAUACCGGAGAAUGUUAUCACGGGAGACACACGGCGGGUGCUAACGUCCGUCGUGAAGAGGGAAACAACCCAGACCGCCAGCUAAGGUCCCAAAGUCAUGGUUAAGUGGGAAACGAUGUGGGAAGGCCCAGACAGCCAGGAUGUUGGCUUAGAAGCAGCCAUCAUUUAAAGAAAGCGUAAUAGCUCACUGGUCGAGUCGGCCUGCGCGGAAGAUGUAACGGGGCUAAACCAUGCACCGAAGCUGCGGCAGCGACGCUUAUGCGUUGUUGGGUAGGGGAGCGUUCUGUAAGCCUGUGAAGGUG